AUCCUCCCACCCUUUGUGUACCUACCUCUGUUGCUUUGGCGGGCCGCGGUCCUCCGCGGCCGCCCCCCUCCCCGGGGGGGUGGCCAGCGCCCGCCAGAGGACCAUCAAACUCCAGUCAGUAAACGAUGCAGUCUGAAAAACAUUUAAUAAACUAAAACUUUCAACAACGGAUCUCUUGGUUCUGGCAUCGAUGAAGAACGCAGCGAAAUGCGAUAAGUAAUGUGAAUUGCAGAAUUCAGUGAAUCAUCGAAUCUUUGAACGCACAUUGCGCCCUUUGGUAUUCCGAAGGGCAUGCCUGUUCGAGCGUCAUUACAACCCUCAAGCUCUGCUUGGUAUUGGGCACCGUCCUUUGCGGGCGCGCCUCAAAGACCUCGGCGGUGGCGUCUUGCCUCAAGCGUAGUAGAACAUACAUCUCGCUUCGGAGCGCAGGGCGUCGCCCGCCGGACGAACCUUCUGAACUUUUCUCAAGGUUGACCUC
rnacentral:rRNA from 1 species